UGCGACCCCAGGUCAG
rnacentral:rRNA from 3 species